rnacentral:lncRNA from 1 species
AUAAAAUAUAAUAAUUUUAAUUUUAAAAAAAUUAUGGGUAUAUUUUUUAGAGUUUUUUUGCAUACACGUCCCUUCAAAAAUAGUGAAUUACAGAAAUAUCCUUGUAAAACGAAAAUUUCAUAAGUUGUCGCUAUAAAAGUCCUAAGUUAUGCAGAUAUAUCCCUCUGAUUUAAAUCCGUUAGUGAAUUGUUUAUUUCUUAACAGUUUUCUUGUGAAAUGAUCUUUUUGCCCUCAUAAAUAUAUCCCUCCAAAAGUAUCCCUCUUCUUUUUCACCUCCCCUUUCUCUUCCUCUUCGGGCCGCCGGAGCGGACGACGGCGGCGGCGCGGGGUUGAGUUCGUCGAAGACGAAGAAGAGGGAAGAGAAAGAAGAAGAGGAAGAAGAAAAAGGAAGAGGAAGAGGGAAGAGGAAGAGGAAGAGGAAGAGGGAGAGGGUUUGCCGCCGCCGCCGCCGCGGCAUCUCCUCUCUUGCCGGCGACGAAAAAGAGGAAAGAGGAAGAGGGAGAGGGUUUGCCGCCGUUGCCGCCGCCGCCGCCGCAUCUCCUCCCUCACCGGCGACGAAGAAGAGGGAAGAGAAAGAGGAGGAAGAGGAAGAAGGGUAAAUCCGUCAAUUCACAUUAUAAUUAAUCAUGGUUAAGUAUUUUAACCGUAGUUAACGAAAAUUUUCUAACAAACCUUAACGGCAGGGAUAUAUCUGCAUAACUUAGGACUUUUGCAGGGACAACUUAUGGAAUUUCCGUUUUGCAGAGAUAUAUCUGUAAUUCACUAUGUUUGGAGGGACGUGUAUACAAAUAACCUUAUUUUUUAUAGGAGUAUAAAUUAUACUAGUACAUAGAGACCCACGCGAUGCAGCGGGUAGAUAAUAGAAGCAAAAUUUAAAAAUUUUAAUAAAAUUUAUAUUUACGGGUUAUUGAUAUAUAGAAAGCUAUACCAUGUUAAGUACAGCCAAUUUGCAUGACUAAAUUCAACUGUUAAAAAAAUAAAAUUAUAACUAAAAUCCAUUUAUUGAUAAAAUAUUAAUAUGGUGCAUGUAAUUAAUUGUUGCACCUUACAUGUAAUUAGAGGAGUGGGAAGGUGAAGGGUUGGGCGUUGAGAAGAGAAGAAGGUGGUUUGAUUUAAAAUUGGGCUAUGAGAAUGAAGGGUAACAUAUUACACGGUAAAAAAAAAUUUUAUGAUGCAUGCAAAAGAGUUACAAAAGAGAGGGGGUAGGAGAUUAAUGGAGAAAGGAGUCGAUUAAAAUUAUAAAACCCAUUCAUUAAUAGAAUAUUAAUAUGGUGCAUAUAAUUAAAUGUUGCACCUUGCAUGUAAUUAGAGGAGCAGAGAGGUGAAGAGUUGGACGUUGAAAAAAAAAAAAAAGAUGGUCUGAUUUAAAGUUGAGCUAUGAGAAUGAAAGGUAACAUGCCACGUGGUAAAAAAUAUUGUGGCUUCAUAUAGGUUUAUCGAUAUAACUGUUGAUAUAAGCUUAGUUUGGUAUUGAGAUAUAUAUGAUACUAUUAAAAUAAAAUAGAGUUGAGAUAAAAAUAUAUAGAGAAAUGUUUAUACAUUCUUCGGUGGAACCGCAUAAAAUAUAUCAUAACCGACUCAUCGCGAUAUGCGCAACGCAAUAUUACGUACGGAAACAAACAAAAUAUUUUUUAUUAUUUUUCCAUCAUACUUGCUUAUCGCACGUAACGCAAUCUUUCCCUUUU